CCUACGGGUGGCAGCAGUCGAGAAUCAUUCACAAUGGGGGAAACCCUGAUGGUGCGACGCCGCGUGGGGGAAUGAAGGUCUUCGGAUUGUAAACCCCUGUCAUGUGGGAGCAAAUUAAAAAGAUAGUACCACAAGAGGAAGAGACGGCUAACUCUGUGCCAGCAGCCGCGGUAAUACAGAGGUCUCAAGCGUUGUUCGGAAAGACUGGGCGUAAAUCGUGCGUAGGCUAUUUCGUAAGUCGUGUGUGAAAGGCGCGGGCUCAACCCGCGGCGGGCACAUGAUACUGGGAGACUAGAGUAAGGGAGGGGGAACCGGAAUUCGCGGUGUAGCAGUGAAAUGCGUAGAUAUCGAGAGGAACACUCGUGGCGAAGGCGGGUUACUGGACAUUAACUGACGCUGAGGCACGAAGGCCAGGGGAGCGAAAGGGAUUAGAUACCCUUGUAGUC
rnacentral:rRNA from 1 species